rnacentral:lncRNA from 10 species
GUCAACUCCAACGGGGACAUUCUUCAGAAAGAAAAGCCUAAAUAAGGAUUUGUUCAACGGACCAUAACCAUUCAUGGCUCAAAGAGGGUUAUACUACUUUUGUGCCUGGAAACGUUUCUAGCAAAGUCUUCAUUUCCUGGACCAAAGGAUGUGUGAUUUAUGCGAAGAUCUGCCCUCCUGUUGCCUCAUGGGCUGGGACCUUUGGAGAGACUCUUUGUGUAUUCUCAAGAAAGGCUUAGUAUUUAGAAGGUGCUCCACUCCUUUUCUGAGAAGACUCUUUCCCUGAUUCUCUUCCAAAGCCCUGAUUAGAAUGAAACUAACAUCUAUUUGAAAAGCUACUUUUUGGUCAAGAUGAAGAGGUCCUGCUAAGAAAGAAGACACAUGACCAACAGGAGGAAGGAGGAAGGCACUCUGAGUUCUGCUGGUAAAUAUCUGAGUGGAAUGACUGGAUCAUAUGAUAAGGAGUUCAUAUGCUGGAAUGAUAGUGACACAGGAGUUUAACACUCCUACAGUAUCCAGAGCCUGGAUCCCUGAGUCAUCAGAUGGAGAAGAACUACUCAGGAGAGUCAUCCAACCUUCAUAGACAGUGGCAUGAGUGGGAAUUAAACAUUGAUUAUGUUAAGCCAUUGCAGUUUGGGGUUGUUUGUUACAGAAGUGUUCAUUUUCCCUUAUUGACCCA